UACGUAGGGGGCAAGCGUUGUCCGGAAUCAUUGGGCGUAAAGAGCGUGUAGGCGGCUUGGUAAGUCCGCUGUGAAAGUCCAGGGCUCAACCCUGGAAUGCCGGUGGAAACUGUCAAGCUUGAGUCCGGAAGAGGAGAGUGGAAUUCCUGGUGUAGCGGUGAAAUGCGCAGAUAUCAGGAGGAACACCAAUGGCGAAGGCAGCUCGCUGGGACGGUACUGACGCUGAGACGCGAAAGCGUGGGGAGCGAACAGG
rnacentral:rRNA from 1 species